rnacentral:rRNA from 1 species
GGCAGCGGGGGUGAUGGCUUGCCAUCACCUGCCGGCGACCGGCGCACGGGUGAGUAACACGUAUGCAACCUGCCCGCCACAGGGGGAUAAGCGGAAGAAAUUCCGUCUAAUACCGCGUGACGCGGCGUCGGGGCAUCCCGGUGCCGCCAAAGGGAUUACCGGUGGCGGAUGGGCAUGCGGCGCAUUAGCUAGUCGGCGGGGUAACGGCCCACCGAGGCGACGAUGCGUAGGGGUUCUGAGAGGAAGGUCCCCCACACUGGUACUGAGACACGGACCAGACUCCUACGGGAGGCAGCAGUGAGGAAUAUUGGUCAAUGGGCGGGAGCCUGAACCAGCCAAGUCGCGUGAGGGAUGACGGUCCUACGGAUUGUAAACCUCUUUUGCCGGGGAGCAAGCGUGCGUUCGUGAACGCGCGUCGAGAGUACCCGGAGAAAAAGCAUCGGCUAACUCCGUGCCAGCAGCCGCGGUAAUACGGAGGAUGCGAGCGUUAUCCGGAUUUAUUGGGUUUAAAGGGCGCGUAGGCGGGAUGCCAAGUCAGCGGUAAAAAAGCGGUGCUCAACGCCGUCGAGCCGUUGAAACUGGCGUUCUUGAGUGGGCGAGAAGUAUGCGGAAUGCGUGGUGUAGCGGUGAAAUGCAUAGAUAUCACGCAGAACUCCGAUUGCGAAGGCAGCAUACCGGCGCCCUACUGACGCUGAGGCACGAAAGCGUGGGUAUCGAACAGGAUUAGAUACCCUGGUAGUCCACGCAGUAAACGAUGAAUGCUAACUGUCCGGUGCGAAUGAGCGCUGGGCGGUACAGCGAAAGCGUUAAGCAUUCCACCUGGGGAGUACGCCGGCAACGGUGAAACUCAAAGGAAUUGACGGG